GCUUGUCUCAAAGAUUAAGCCAUGCAUGUCUAAGUAUAAACAACUUUAUACUGUGAAACUGCGUACAGCUCAUUAUAUCAGUUAUAAUUUAUUUGAUGGUGAUUUACUACAUGGAUAACCGUGGUAAUUCUAGAGCUAAUACAUGCUAUAUGCCCGGCUUCUGGCAGGGCUGUAUUUAUUAGAUACUAAACCAGUGUCGCAAGACAUUGUGGUGAAUCACAGUAACUGAUCGAAUCGGCGCGCAAGCGGCGAUAAAUCAUUCAAGUUUCUGCCCUAUCAGCUUUCGAUGGUAGUGUAUUGGACUACCAUGGCAGUCACGGGUAACGGAGAAUUAGGGUUCGGUUCCGGAGAGGGAGCCUGAGAAACGGCUACCACAUCUAAGGAAGGCAGCAGG
rnacentral:rRNA from 1 species